AUGGUUGGUUGGAUUGAGUUUUGUAUGGAUUCUACAAGGGCCAUUUCUAUGGAAUUACAAAUUAGUUUUACAUUUUUAUGGCUGGGCUCAUUGUCUUUCGAUUGCCCACAUUCGGAUGGGUUUGUUAUCAAGUGGACACCACAACCACCAUCAAUAGGGCGGGAAUGGAGGUGUGUGAUAUUUUUUUUCCCGUUGCAACGCACGGGCAUUUUUGCUAGUAAUAAUAAAGAAAAUUGGGUUUCUGUCGUCCGUCAUGAAAUUGCCCCUGAAGUUGUAAAUAUUUACCCGCCAUGCCACCGGUAA
rnacentral:rRNA from 1 species